UGGGCUGUCGCCAAGUCGGUAAGGCACAGGAUUUUGAUUCCUGCAUUUCGUUGGUUCGAGUCCAGCCAGCCCAGCCA
rnacentral:tRNA from 1 species